rnacentral:rRNA from 1 species
GUACACGCUGUGACUAGCAUAUCAAUAAGCGGAGGAAAAGAAACUAACAAGGAUUCCCUCAGUAACGGCGAGUGAAGCGGGAAGAGCUCAAAUUUGAAAUCUUGAAAGGUCACCUUUCACGAAUUGUAGUUUAAAGAAGUGUUUUCUGUUACGAUCGUAAUAUAAGUUCUUUGGAAUAGGACAUCACAGAGGGUGAGAAUCCCGUCUAUGAUUGCGAUUUGUAGCUUUGUGAUACACUUUCAAAGAGUCGGGUUGUUUGGGAAUGCAGCCCAAAACGGGAGGUAAAUUUCUUCUAAGGCUAAAUAUUGGCGAGAGACCGAUAGCGAACAAGUACCGUGAGGGAAAGAUGAAAAGAACUUUGAAAAGAGAGUUAAAUAGUACGUGAAAUUGUCAAAAGGGAAGCGUUUAACACCAGUGUUGUUUUCUGAAAAUCAACCUCUGUUAGCUUUAUGCAUGUUUGUUUAGACCUAAUCAGCUAUCUUGCAUGUUCUAUUGUUUGCAGUGGUGCACUUUUCAGUUUACAGGUCAACAUCAGUUUUUUUUACCGUAAAAAAGUUAAAGAAAGGUAGCUCAUGGCUCCGGUCGUGAGUGUUAUAGUCUUUUUCCUAUGCGGUAGGAGAGACUGAGGAUCUGCAGUGUAGGCUAUUUGGCUAGAUACUCAGGUGCUAUAUGAUACCAUUUCAUAAACAACUUGUUGAUUAUGUUUUGUCUAUUGCAUACUCGCUUGUACUAUCAUACCUACGCUUAGGAUGUUGAGUAGCGACAUACGCA